rnacentral:rRNA from 1 species
UACAGAGGUCUCAAGCGUUGUUCGGAUUCAUUGGGCGUAAAGGGUGCGUAGGCGGCGCGGUAAGUCGGGUGUGAAAUCUCGGAGCUUAACUCCGAAACUGCAUUCGAUACUGCCGUGCUUGAGGACUGGAGAGGAGACUGGAAUUUACGGUGUAGCGGUGAAAUGCGUAGAUAACGUAAGGAAGACCAGUGGCGAAGGCGGGUCUCUGGACAGUUCCUGACGCUGAGGCACGAAGGUCAGGGGAGCAAACGGG